GUAGAUGGCUCAGUGGUUAAGAGCAUUGGCUGCUCUUAACCAGAGGAUCUGGGUUCAAACCCCAGCACUUACA
rnacentral:tRNA from 1 species